UUUUUUUUUUUCUUUUUCUUUUUUGAGACACAGUAUCACUUCCCUUGCCCAGACUACAGUGCAGUGGCAUGAUCACCACUCACUGCAGCCUUGACUUCCUGGGCUCAGGUGACUCUCCAGCCUCAGCCUCCUGUGUGACUGGGAUUACAGAUGCAUGCCACAUGACCAGAAAACUUUUGUAUUUUUUUGUAGAGAUGGGGUUUUGCCAUGUUGCCCAGCCUGGUAUUGAACUCCUGGGCUCAGGCAAUCCACCCACCUCAGCCCCUCAAAGCGCUGGGGGAUUAGAGGCAUGAGCCACUGCGCCCAGCCAAGAGUAUCUUAAAUAUUCUUAGACCCAAUAAAAUUAUUAGUAGAGUCACUGUAAGUCACUGUCUCUAACAAAUGAGAUAGGUUUGGGGUUUUUCAAAAUUAACUCAAAACACUUGUGCCUCAUAAACAAACCCAAUGGUUCAAAUUUGUUCACACUUGAUAAAAUUUAAAAAUGAUGAUUUCUAUUAAACAGAAAUGGACCAUAGAUUCUCUAGCAUCUCUUAAGUAACCGAAUUUUUUCAAGAAAUGUACUUAAUCUACUUUUCCCCAGCUCCAAUUCAGUCCCACCCUCCACCCCAUGGGCCCUCUCUGAUCAAGGGCUCUCCUAUCUCCCAAAAUCCUCCCAAGAAGAUCUAUCUCUUCUGUGUCCCCGUGUGGGCCCUGCCCCUGGCUGGGUGAUGGCUUUCUUGUGUGAUAAAAGAACGCAGUAUAAGGGACUAAGUUUAGUCCAAUGCUUCCUUCCAUAUAAUGUAACUUCACACGCUGCUUUCCUCCGAAGUCAGGGGCCAGAUAGUGCUAAAGGAGAAAUUCUGUGGUUGGUGGGUGCUUCAGCUUCUCUUAGGCAGCACUCUGUGUGCAGCCUCAGCCUAAGGGUGGCCUUGCUCAUAGGCGGGGUGACUAUCCCAGUUCCCUGGGGACAGAGGGGUUUCCCAGGAUGCAGGAUUUUCAGUGCUAAAAACAAAAAACAGGAAAGUCCCAGGCAAACCAGAAUGAGCUGCCUGCCUACAGGACCUGUACUUGCAGCUGGAAGUGGCCUUCCACCCAUCACAGUGUGUGAAAGAGCCUCAGAGACAGCCUGGUGCAGUUCACUCUUCAACAGAGGACAUGCAGGUGACAAGGCACUGCCCCUUCCCUCACUCCUGAGGGCCCAUCCCAGGCCGUGCCAGCUUCCCAAAACAUGACUCUUAUGUGUCUAGGGCCUUUGCACUCGCAAGGAAACACGUCCCCCAAAGACCUGGACCCUCCAAAGCAUGGAAGUCAGCAGGGAGAUGACUGAAGGACCCCACGGUGCCGCAAGGUGGGGUCAAGGUCUCCAGUGAGGUCAACUGAACCCGGCUCUACAUGGAAUUCAUUUCCUAGAAACCUGCCCAUUAUCUAACACCAGAGACAAAAGCUGAAUUCCCAGUGCCAGCAAAACUGACUGCGGAGCUAUGUCACUGCUGCUAUUUUUAGGAGAUGACUAUUGUCCCUCGAGUUUUAAAAUGCAAAAGCUGUAAGGUCUAGAAGGAAAGGAUGCAGACUGACCCUCCCGCUACACAUGGAGAGGACCAGGGCCUUUGGAUGGCUGCCUUGACAGCGUUCAACGGAAGCAGAUGUGGGGAGAACCCUGGAAUCCACCAGUCACCUGUGCAUAGCCCAACACCAGACAGAAUCAGUCCCUGCAAGACCCAGGAUGGACCCCGACUCCAGGGGUCUUUGCAGUAACUGGUACUCAAGGGAAAUGCUGAAGAAAAGAGAAAGGCGGCCAGGCAUGCUGGCUCACGCCUGUAAUCCCAGCACUAUGGAAGGCGGAGGUGGGUGGAUCACUUGAGGUCAGGAGUUCAAGACAUGCCUGGCCAACAUGGUGAAACCCCGUUUCUACUAAAAAUACAAAACUUAGCCGGGUGUGGUGGUGGGUGCCUGUAAUCCCAGCUACUCGGGAGGCUGAGGCAGGAGAAUUGCUUGAGCCCGGGAGGCAAAGGUUGCAGUGAGCCGAGAUGGCACCAUUGCACCACUCCAGCCUGGGCAAAAAGAGCGAAACUCCAUCUCAAAAGAAAAAAAAAAAGAAAGAAAGAAAAGGGAAAGGCUUGUGACCAUCCCCGGCACGAGCUUCUUCCCCCUCCUUGAAAAGCUCUCCUCAUGCCACUUCCGAAUCUCCUCCCACUCGCGAUAGGC
ensembl:lncRNA